rnacentral:lncRNA from 1 species
CCAGAAUUCCUAGAUUUUCACAGGUGUAUUUCUCUGGCUACAGAGUAAGUGAGCUUCCCCAGGGGGUUCUGAUGAGGGACCUGUCUUGGUUACUGACCCUGAAAAGCGGUGUUCAGCCAGACCCUUUGGCCUUUGAGGUCUGUUUACUAUGGUUGGAACAAGUGGUCAGGAAGGAACAGUGUAUCAGGUUGUGCUUGCUUUUCUGGAUUUGCUUAAGUGGUUUUUAAAAAUAGAUGUUACGCAAAUAUAACAGAUUAUGCCUAACUUGGGAUAGUGGGAGCCUACUGCACCCCUGGAGAUUGGUGCAUUUCAACCAGUGUCCCAUCUUGUGUGCAGAUGAAGGAAUAGAGAUCUCUUGUCUAAUCUGAAUAUUCGGCAGCACCUGCAGUUUUCCAGGUAGGCCUUGCUGCAGGUCUUCAGGUUGUUCUGUCUGCUUGUUUUUCCCUGUUCAGUUCUUGAUACUAGUCAGACCUGGUCUGUAUCCGAAUCCCCAUGACGCAGAGCCAGUCAGCCUGGAACUGCGCUGUUUGUGUGCUCAGGUCCUGAACCAAGUGUACAGGUACAUGCCCCUUGCAUAUAACCUGCCUCAUUAUUCAGUUCUCCCACAGGUCUGGGCCACUCUUAAGACUGUGACCCUUUGAUUUGGGGCCAAGAUUUCCUUCCUAGCUCUUGCCAUUCUCUCUCCCAGGAGCUAGAUCCUGACCGAAUAGCUGUUAUCUGGGCUUCAACCAGUCCUGUGUGUCAUGAGCUUAUGAAUAUUGUUCAUUCAUUUAUUAUUUGUUGGUUUUUUUUUUUUUUUUUUAAUAGCAGCUUCCUUUUUUUUAUUCUUCUUUUUAGGGCUACACCUGCAGCAUAUGCAGUUCUUGAGCUAGGGGUCAAAUCAGAGCUGCAGCUGCCAGCCUAUGCCACAGCCACAGCUGCACCGGAUCCUUAACCCACUGUGCAAGGCCAGGGAUCAAAUCUGCAUCCUCACAGACACUGUGUCGGGUUCUUAACCUGCUGAGCCACAAUGGGAGCUUCCCAUUAUUUAGGGGAACAAAAUGGUGUAACCCUUGUUCUCAGAGAGUUUAGAUUCUAGUGGGGAAGAAAGAUAUUAAGCCAAUAACCAGACAAGUAAAUAUCCAGUUACAAACUGUGAUAAAUCCUAUGAUGGAUGAGAACUAAAUUCUCAGAAGAAGUAGCAGGCAGGAUCUAAUUUGGAUUGGGUGGGGGUGAGGAAAGUUCUCCCAGAGUUAGCCAAGUGAGGACGAUGAGAAAGGUGAGCAAAUGCAGGUGAAAGGUCUCAGAGGUGGCACUGAGCUUGGCCUCUUUAAUGACUUCCACAGUGGCCAGUGAGAUGAGAGCACUGAUGGCCAACCCUGACUGUGUGAGCAUCCAGUGGCUGCCAUAACUAAUCCUUGCAAACAUACAGCCUGCAACAACAGGACUUACUUUCUCAUAGAUCUGGAGGCCACAAGUACAAAAGAAUAUCCCCGGGCUAAAAUCCAGGGCAGUGCUCCUUCCAGAGGCUUGAGGAGAGCCUUGCUGUUCCAGCCGUUCUUUACUGUUACAGCUUUCGGUGGCUGCCCACAUUCCUUGGCUUGUGGCCACGGCACUCCAGAUCUUCAGAUCUCUCUCUGCUCUACCUUCAUGUCACCUUUUCUGCUGUGUUUCUCAAAUCUCCCUCUGCCUCUCUUGUAUAAGGACAACUGUGACUGUAUUUGGAGCCCACCCAAAUAAUGUAGGGGAAUCUUCCUAACUCCAGAUCCUUAAUCAUAUUAGCAAAAUCCUUUUUUUUUUUUUUUCAUAUCAGGAAACAUCUAUAGGUUUCAGGGAUUAGGACCUGAUAUCUUUGGGGGCCAUUAUUCAGCCCAUUACUCUGGAUUGCUUUAGUAAUCCCUGGAGGAACUUUUAUUUUUAUUUUUAAAAUUUUUUUACUUAUUUUUUCGCUUUGUAGGGCCAUACCCCUGGCAUAUAGAAGCUCCCAGGCUAAGGGUCGACUCAAAGCUACAGCUGCAACGCGGGAUCCGAGGUGCAACCUACACCACAGCUGAUGGCAACACCAGAUCCUUAACCCCCUGAGCAAGGCCAGGGAUCAAACCCGUAUCCUCAUGGAUGUUAAUCGGGUUCGUUAACUGCUGGGAGCUCCCCUGGAGGAGCUUUUAAAUCUGCAUCGCCCACGCUCCACCUUACAUCACUUAAAUCAGAAUCUCUCUGUGAGGCUGGGGCAUGGAUAUUUUUAAAAGCCUCCCCAGGCGAUUCUGAAACAACUGCUAGACUCUGUGGCAGAUAACGUCUGGCCUAGAGCAUGAUGAAGGAAGAGCAGGUGUAGUAACAGGCAGGAUGUCAUCACAAUUUGGACACUUCUCCUGCUUUUAACCUGAUGGGACCUGUUGGCCAUCAAUGCCGACUGAAGGAAGCCCUCGCUGAAUGGACCUCUUGGGAAGGUUUUGUGGUUUAACUUCACUGGGAGCAUCUUGGCCCUGCUUCCUUCCAUUCCUGCUUCUUCUUUGCCAUCCAUCUGACGCUGAGGUCUUGGAGCACGUGAUGCCUCAGUCUGCCCAAGUUCUAAAGACGGCAUAGAGCUUACAAGUGAAGGGGGCUCAAACGUCGCUCAUACUUUGCAGGCCUCACACAGAUAGAGCUCACACAAAUACAGCUGGGCGCUCCAGAGCUGUAAGCCCAAGUCUGAAGAUACCUUUGUAAAUUUGUAGGGAAAAAACAAAACCAAACAACUAAGGUUUGAACUACAAACAACCUUAGAGGCAGGCCCAGAACUGAGGAAGCAUGUCAGAGCCUCCAGAACUCAUGACUUGUUUUAGCCGUAGAGAGGGGAUAUUUUUCCUUUCUCACUGGACCCACUUAUCUAUGAAGAUGCUGGUGUUUUUCAGUGAAUGUAUUUGGGGAAAAUGGUAAUUGGGUCUAUCAAGAUCCCUGUGUUGAUGUGCAGCUUUGGCCCUAAGGACAAACGUAGACUCGGAACCACAUAGGCUUGUCACCUGGGAGCUACGAGGAUGACCAGGGAAUGUGCUAAGAAUUUGAUUGUCUGAGAACAAGAACCAAUUUAGGGAGUUCCUCAGUAGCUAUUUGCUAGUAGAUCAGUGUUUUCAAAACCCAGUUAGAAAGUCCCAAGCCCCACUCACCCCUGGACCACUAAUAUCAGGGAAGCCAUCUUUGCUUUUACAAAUCACUGAAUUGUCUCUGGGGAGGCAAAGAGGCAAUGAUCUCUUGGGGGCUGCUGUCUUUUUUACGGUCAUCAGAUCUUGUCAUGGGCUCCAGCCACAGGGGAAUGUUGGUAACACCUGGAAAAGGGAGGGUUGUCUCUUUAAGUACUGGGAAUGUUUAACUGGAAAUCCUUUGUGGAUGGGUCCAAGAUCUGUAUAGCCUCUGUCCUUCUGAUGUGGAACGCCUCCCUAGCACAGGGCCCCAAUUGGUCUCCUGCUCUUUGUUGCCAACAACCAUCUCAGCUUGGGCCAGACGUCAUGAAAAGAUCCAGUAACAGCAUGAUGCUUCAUGUGGGGGGUCCUUCCGUGGUCUUCCUCUUUGUAGCUACCCUCUUGUCUCCAGCAUCACUUGCACCCCAUUUUCUCCUAUCACAAUGCAAAUAUGAACUGUGUCUGUUUAUUAGUGGGUUUCCUUCGGAGUACUCUUUCAGUUUAGGGAGGCUGGGGGGGGGCAUUCUUUUCUGAAUUUUUAGUGUUGCAUAUGCUCAAUGCUCAAAGAAAGGUUUGACUUUCUGGUGGGCUCCCUUUCUGAACCUCUUUUUAAAGCUUCCUGUUGGACAUACCCUUUCUUUUCCAAAAUGGCAGUUUCGUGUCCUGUGAGACAGGAAAUGCCUUUUCUCUUGAUUGCCCCUUUUCAGUGGAAAUCUAUCACAAAGGCAAUCACAAAGAAUUCUUUCCUGCUAAGAAGUUGGGUGCUCCAGUCAUACCUGUCUUAUCUAGAAAGUGGUUCAAUUAUUUUCAUCUCUGACAAAAUGAUGAACUUCAGAGGAUUUGCCCAAGGAGAGAGGGUGGAAGGGUUGGCAUGGCUAGCUUCACUACCCUCAUGUGGAGUCAGAAACCUGAAAACAGCCUCGCUCUCAAGCAUGCAUUCCCCUCUUUGUCCGGGGAGUAACGAUGGCUGAGGCGUUGGCAUGCAGAUACUUGCAGAGUGAAAAUGGAUACACUUCCCCAGCUCCUCAUCCCUGGCCUGGAGGACAGCCUGCCAGCCGUGCAUGCAUGUUGGUUUGGCACUGAGACAAAUGUUCCCUGGAGCAUAGACUGAAACCACCAAACUGAUAUCACAGGGGACACCGGCCAAAUCCUGACCUCGCUCUCUGCAGGUGAGAGGCUGUGGAAUUAACCUGUGAUGCUCUCCGGCUCCCGCCUGGUGGGUGGUCUGGAUUUGUUUUCUUUUUCUUUUUUUUUCUUUUUAAUGCCACAUUUGAAUCUCCUUGCUCUCCCCACCCAACUGGUAUCUACCAGCCACAGAGCCACUCUGCCGGUCUUGGCUUGGGAACAGUGGGCAGUGACUUGGCUCCAAGAAAUGGGCAAACCACACGAUUUCUUCUUGCCCCUUGAGAGGGAAGGGCCACUCAUGGGCUGUUCCAGCCUCGAGCCCGGGUGGCAGGGCCCUCGGGCUGGCAUCGCUGGCAUCUGUGGUCGCGGUCUGCUCCUUUUGCGUCCCUCUCUUCCGCAUUUUUCCUCCCACCGUUCCAACUUCUCCCAUCUCCCCCCCGCCUUUUUUGUUUCCAACCCUUAUUUAUUCAGAGCUUCCAAUAUUCUAAGUUUUUCAUGAAUCCAGGGCUUUAAUUUAGCAUGUGGGGUGCUGGCGCUUCCAGCGAGCUGCUUGGGUCAUUAUUUCCAACGUGAAGGAAUAAAGAGGCAGCAGGGUGCAGUGGACAGCAUGGGGGCUGGACGCCAGAAGGCCCCGUGCUAGUCCCUGUCUUGCAUCUAAGCAGCUCUGGAACCCUGGCCGGGCCUCGCCCUGGCUGCCAGGCUCAGUUUCCUCCCCAGAGGGAUGGGGAAUCGGGGCGAGAUGAUUUCUAAGGCUCGUCUCAUUCUGUGAUUCUGUGGAGCUCACUGGCCACGUGAAAUCCACAUUGGGUUGUGCCAGUGUCACUUUCCUUUGUGUUUUGAAAAACUAUAUUGUUACGAGGAUGAAUGAGGAGAUGUGAGCAGAGUCCCUAAGCUCGAUGUCUCCAACGCAGAAGACCAAGGGGAAAACCUUCCUGGAAAUCACUUUCCAGGGGCCAU